rnacentral:lncRNA from 1 species
AAGAUUCAAUCAUAAACCACUUUGCCUCGAUUGUAUGUAAACCCUCCACCCUUCACCCCUACCCUCUAAAAUGGUAAAGAAUGGCUCUUUUGGGUAUAUAUCUAUAGAUUUCUAUCUGACUGGACAAAGAAAUAGGAAGGGAUGGUUCUUUCAUUGCAUUGAUAGAAGUCUAACUAGAAAAAGAUCUCUCUAUUAAGAAGAGAAUCGUAGGUUUGAUCGACGAACUACGUGGGAAAAUGGACCUUUUUUCUUUGAUUUUCAGCAAGCAUUUUUUGAAAGUCAUAAUUCUAUUCAGUUUGGUUUCGGAAAACUUGCUAGUCGCGGAUUAGUGCGAUUCUUACUAUGCCA